rnacentral:rRNA from 1 species
AACGAUGGUCCCGGUAAGGGGGGGGAGAGUGGGGAAGGGUGGGUAACACGUGGGCAUCUGCCCUGUCUCUGGGACAAGCCCUGGAAACGGGGUCUAAUACCGGAUACGACCAUCUUGGGCAUCCUUGAUGGUGGAAAGCUCCGGCUGUGCAGGAUGAGCCCGCGGCCUAUCAGCUUGUUGGUGAGGUAAUGGCUCACCAAUGCUACGACGGGUAGCCGGCCUGAGAGGGCCACCGGCCACACUGGGACUGAGACACGGCCCAAACUCCUACUGGAGGCAACCCUGGGGAAUAUUGCCCAAUGGGCUAAUGCCUGAUGCAGCGACGCCGCGUGAGGGAUGACGGCCUUCGGGUUGUAAACCUCUUUCAACAGGGAACAACCAAAUGUGACGGUACCUGCAGAAUAAGCGCCAGGUAACUACGUGCCAGCAGCCGCGGUAAUACGUAGGGCGCAAGCGUUGUCCUGAAUUAUUGGGCGUAAAGAGCUCGUAGGCGGCUUGUCACGUGCGUUGUGAAAGCCCGGGUGCUUAACCCUCGGGUCUGCAAUCGAUAUUGGCAGGCUAGAGUUCGGUAGCGGAGAUCUGAAUUCCUGGUGUAGCGGUGAAAUGCGCUCAUAUCACGAUGAACUCCGGUGGCGAACGCGGAUCUCUGGGCCGAUACUGACUCUGAGGAGCGAUAGCGCGCGGGAGCGCACAAGGAUAUAGAUACCCUGGUUAGUCCACUUA